UUUACGAACACCGAUCAUCGGUAUGUACCCAUUAUGCAUUAUUGGUAUCGAAGUCUUAUGUUGAGCUGGAUAUCGAAAAAUUUCAAAAUGUAAGGCUGUAAUUUUGUACUUGUUUAGGUGUAGAACUAGGAUUAACAACUUGAUUGCUAGGAGCUAGGAAGAGAUUUUAGUAAUGAUGACCCUUUAAACUUAAACUAUAUCUCUAGUGCACUUCGAUCGGUUUUCUUUUCAAUUUUGAUAAAACCUAGUCGUGAUCUUUGUUUCAGAACUUCACUAAUUUAUUAAGUUUUGUAGUUUAUAUAGACGGAACAUGAGCAGAUACCAUUUGAUUAAUUAUAAUAUAUCCGAUUUGAAAUAUUAUUCUGUCGGAGUUUGAGUUCAACAUGGACACAUUUAUUAACAUCCCGCAUGAAUUUGUGUCGUCUUUACAAUUUUUUGCGCUGAAUUUGUAUGCUUAUUAAUACUGCCGCAUGAUAUCAGUAGCUGCUAUAAAACUAGAGUGUAUAGCAUGUGUAUUAUACGAUGUUUCCCACGUAAAAAUCGCAGGUUGUUUUGGUGCGGCUGGGCACUCUACUGGUGAUUGACACCAGAGACUGAGAAAAACUUUGACAUAAUUUUCAAGUUUGAUAUGACCUAAUAACUACCACAUUUACAGGAAGUAUGGUAAUACAUUCUUGUCAGCUGUCUGGGCAAAUCUUCUCUCGCAGAAUUGGAUUAAAAUUUAAUGUAUUUUAUUUCUCACUUCCAACGAUGUCGCAAUUAUUAGGCAGCUAUCAAGUCUCAAGAUAUGACAUAAUUUGAUAGAAUGUUAGUACCAACGCUAUCAGUGCAUUGAAGUCGAGUUCUCGAUACAGGGAGCUGCUGGUAAACUACCGUCGCUAUACAUCGACUAUGACUACAAUCCUACUUUUAAAAACAAACUACAUACAUAUCUCACAUUUGCGAGGACUACUUCAUCACAAGCAAAAAAUCGACAUUGGUAAAUAAAGGUCUGUCUCUAUAACCACGAUGAAAAGAAAAGCUGGGCGAAAACAUUUGAGACUGCAGAUUGCAGAACUGGAACACUCUAUUUGAAGACAGUGGCUGCUGAGUGCUGAGCUGCAUCAAAUCUAUCAGCAUCAUGUAACUUCGAUCAGGAACAGACUCCAUUUCAUUUCCGACAACUAGCACCUGUUUUCCCUAGACUUACCAAGUAUUAAGUAACUGCAUUAGUAUUAGGUUAAAUUAAAGGCCCUACAUCGAACAAGUCUAACAAUUAAAACUUAAAUGCAAGAGUGCACAAUUUAUCACUAAAUAUCUUCCUCUUUUAAUUCUAAUCAACACACGGUUUCGUCUUUGUUUCACCCAAUCGUGCUGAUAAUCAGUAAUCAUGCACUCUGCACUCUAACUUCGAGAUGUUUCAAAAGGGCUCCCGACGAGUUGAAUUAGAUCAAUAUUUUCUUUUGAUACAUAGAUACUGAUUGGGAGGUUCAUCAUACUAUUCUUGUCACAUGGUAACGAUUAACGAUUAGCUGAUCAGCUUCCAGCAUCGACAGGCCGAAAUCCAUAAAUAUAAUCAGUUGUAAUUUAAUAUUUAUCAUCGUCCGGAUCAUCAUAAUAUUUUAAUUUAAAGUUACAAUUGAACGGUGUUAAGAAAGAUAAUUUAAGAGAAAUGUUUUGAAAGUGCCUGAUUUCGAGUAUAAGAUCUGUACUGAUACAUUAAUUUUCAGAUUGUUAUUAUAGUUUAUUUGUAUUUUUUAUAUUAUCUUAUCCGCACAAGUUCGGAAGCCAUCUGAACGCUAUUGCCAGACACAGGCAUAUAUUUAUUUUGGGGUAUCAUGCUCUCAGAAAUUUCAACUCAGUCCGAUAUUAUAGUUAUACUAACCUGCAUUGCAUAAGGUUAAUUGUCUCGCAGUCUAGUGCAUAAACCUUUUAUUUUGUAUAAACCCUUUAUUUUGAUUGGGAAAACUUUAUUUUAAUGUGGUUACCGUCUCUAAAGUUGGCAUGAUAGUUAAUAAACUCUUAUCUAUUAUGUCACUGAAGAUGACGCCUUGCAACAUGUUUGACGAUAGCCUGUAGAUUGAUAGUUUGAUCUAAGUAUUUACAACAAUUCAUCUAGUUUGAUUGAUUCAAAGGGAAACAAAUUCCUCUCUUAUCUAUUAUGACUAUAUUUAAAUUCAAUCCUGUAAAGUGAUACUCCUUUUUUAGUAAUUUAAA